AUGCUUUUGCAGUUCUUACACCACGUCAUUAGGUUCAGCCAAGACAUAUGGUUCCAGUUGUAUGUAAUUCGUUCUUAAGGUUCUGCUGCCUUAAAGGGACAGUUCAAGGGACCGGAUGUCUGUUCUGCCAGUGGUGUGAUUUUCUAGCAAUGAGUUUUGUCGGCAUAUUGUAGAAAGACAUUUCUUUCCAGCUUCGGCUAAUUAGCUUUAGUGACCUCAUAGCGUUACAUUAUUCUUUUGAGGCAUAAAUUUAUACCUUCCAAUUUCUUACGUGCCCUUGUGAAUUUAGAAACAAUUAUACCAUAUAUAAAAGCGGGAAUAGCGCAGAAAUUGUUUUAACUUUAA